rnacentral:rRNA from 1 species
AUUGAACGCUGGCGGCAGGCCUAACACAUGCAAGUCGAACGAGUGGCAGACGGGUGAGUAAUGUCUGGGAAACUGCCCGAUGGAGGGGGAUAACUACUGGAAACGGUAGCUAAUACCGCAUACCAUCGGAUUUGCCCAGAUGGGAUUAGCUUGUAGGUGGGGUAAUGGCUCACCUAGGCGACGAUCCCUAGCUGGUCUGAGAGGAUGACCGGCAAACCUGGAACUGAGAAACGGUCCAGACUCCUCCGGGGGGCAGCAGUGGGGAAUAUUGGACAAUGGGCGCAAGCCUGAUGCAGCAAUGCCGCGUGGAUGAAGAAGGCCUUCGGGUUGUAAAGUACUUUAAGCGAGGAGGCGUUACUCGCAGAAGAAGCACCGGCUAACUACGUGCCAGCAGCCGCGGUAAUAC